rnacentral:rRNA from 1 species
UACGGGGAGGGGCAAGCGUUGUUCGGAAUUACUGGGCGUAAAGGGCUCGUAGGUGGCCAACUAAGUCAGACGUGAAAUCCCUCGGCUUAACCGGGGAACUGCGUCUGAUACUGGAUGGCUUGAGUUCGGGAGAGGGAUGCGGAAUUCCAGGUGUAGCGGUGAAAUGCGUAGAUAUCUGGAGGAACACCGGUGGCGAAGGCGGCAUCCUGGACCGACACUGACACUGAGGAGCGAAAGCAUGGGGAGCGAACAGG